UGCAGGGCCAACUUUAAUACAGGCCGGCCUGUCUGGGGGUCGAGGUGGCGACUCCCUUUGUCCUGUGGUUUUCCACGGGCAGGGGCGGUCCCAGCGAGAUCGUCUCAUAACCAAACCAGCCCUGUGCACGAGAAGUCACGCCAUGCUGGUCUCCUGGGGAUCCCCCCACCAGCAGGGAAGCUGAGGUGCGCCGGGAAGCCAGGCCAAGGGAGGGACCCCUUAACAGAAGCCUGCACCAGCUAACGGGAGCAGCGAGGACCAAGAGGAAGCACGGGGACCCCAAG
rnacentral:antisense_RNA from 1 species